UACAGAGGUCCCAAGCGUUGUUCGGAUUCACUGGGCGUAAAGGGUGCGUAGGCGGUCGGGUAAGUCUGAUGUGAAAUCUCACAGCUUAACUGUGAAACUGCAUUGGAUACUAUCCGGCUAGAGGAAUGGAGGGGAGACUGGAAUACUUGGUGUAGCAGUGAAAUGCGUAGAUAUCGUUUGGAACGCCAAUGGUGAAAACAGCUUGCUGGGAGUGUGCUGACGCUGAGACACGAAAGCCAGGGGAGCAAACGGG
rnacentral:rRNA from 1 species